GUGUGCAGGUGCACUUCAUUAAAAUCAAUUCAUGAGUAACUGACAAACAGCAACACUUGACAGUUUAACUGCGUCGCUUUAAAUAUAUAGACUUUUAUUUUUAUUUUUUGUUUUUAUACCAUGGUAGCCAUUUAACAAAGAAGGACAGCCGUGGACUGAACUGACGUUCGUCUUCGUGUACGGCAAGAGAAGUAGCAACUCCCCAAGAGGAUUCCAGUGUGAGUGUAGCUUCAUUAAUCUCCCUGCGUCACUGGAGUUGUCCAAUCUAAAAGGGGGCCAUGGAGAACAAGCAGCUCCCCCGAGGAGUCCCUCCGUUUAGCCUCCACACACUCAGGCCUGAACAUUGAAAUAGCAGAUAGAGGACACGGGAUAAAUUACUGUGCACGUCGUUGUGUGGAUGCAUGCACUUCAUGAUUGGAAAUGUCAUACAUGACAGAGUCGCCGUGCUCUGCUGCCUGAAAGAUGUUGAUAGGCCUGCUGGUUGUAGUGCUCAUCCAAGCACCAAAGUUCUUCACCUUCAGUUGUCAUGCAGUUACUUAGACCAUUUAAGUGUUUUUUCAUUUCAUGUUGUCAUUUCUUUAGUUUAAAAAAAAGUCCCAGAAUAAGGGAUUAGAAAAAGAUGUGACGGAUAAACUUAGAGCUGUGGCUAAUAAUUUGUCUGCAAUUAAAUAUUUUAUCAAUUAUUUAAUAAGUUAAUCAUCGAACACUCAUAAUUGCACACUGCAUUCUAGUUGAAGUAGGUUUAUUUAAUUUACAUUCUCAUAGACAAACUCAGUUAUACUUCAUGGUCAGAAAAACUGCAUUUUUGUUAAUUCCAAAGAUUUGGCUUUAAUUACCUUAAUAACCUUUAAUCACUUAUUUUUA